rnacentral:rRNA from 1 species
CCGCGGUAUCCUAACCGUGCAAAGGUAGCGCAAUCACUUGUUCUUUAAUUAAGGACUAGUAUGAACGGCUAAAUGAGGGCCUAACUGUCUCCUAUGGCUAAUCAAUGAACCUGAUCUUCCAGUACAAAAGCUGGAAUAUUAACAUAAGACGAGAAGACCCUGCGGAACUUUAAACAACCACUAAACCGCCAUCUAUACCCAAAGGAAUAUAUAUAAGCACAGUUUUAGACUAGUUUUCAGUUGGGGCGACUGCGGGGUAAAACAAAGCCCCCGCGACAUAAUACACUUGCACCUGGCGGACACGCCUACGACAAAACAUAAUGACCCAGUACUACUGACCAACGAACCAAGCUACCCCAGGGAUAACAGCGCCAUCCCCUUUAAGAGUCCUUAUCACCAAGGGGGUUUACGACCUCGAUGUUGGAUCAGGACAUCCAGGUGGUGCAGCCGCUACCAAGGGUUCGUUUGUUCAACGAUUAAUAGUCCU